rnacentral:rRNA from 1 species
AACGAACGCUGGCGGCAUGCCUAACACAUGCAAGUCGAACGAGACCUUCGGGCCUAGUGGCGCACGGGUGCGUAACGCGUGGGAACCUGCCCUUGGGUCGGAAUAACUUCCCGUAAGGGGUGCUUCUACCGGAUAAUGUUUUUGGCCCAAAGGUUUUUCGGCUUUGGAUGGGGCCGUGUUGGAUUGGCUCGUGGGUAGGGGAACACCCGACCAAGGCGACGGUCCAUAGCUGGUUUGAGAGGAUGAGCAGCCACACUGGGACUGAGACACGGCCCAGACUCCUACGGGAGGCAGCAGUGGGGAGUAUUAGGCAAUGGGCGAAAGCCUGAUCCAGCAAUGCCGCGUGAGUGAUGAAGGCCUUAGGGUUGUAAAGCUCUUUUACCCGGGAUGAUAAUGACAGUACCGGGAGAAUAAGCUCCGGCUAACUCCGUG